UACGAAGGGGGCUAGCGUUGCUCGGAAUCACUGGGCGUAAAGCGCACGUAGGCGGACUCUUAAGUCGGUGGUGAAAUCCUGGAGCUCAACUCCAGAACUGCCUUCGAUACUGAGAGUCUUGAGUCCGAGAGAGGUGAGUGGAACUGCGAGUGUAGAGGUGAAAUUCGUAGAUAUUCGCAAGAACACCAGUGGCGAAGGCGGCUCACUGGCCCGAUACUGACGCUGAGGCACGAAAGCGUGGGGAGCAAACAGG
rnacentral:rRNA from 1 species